rnacentral:rRNA from 1 species
CGGGACGGGGUGGAGUAAUGUCUGGGAAACUGCCUGAUGGAGGGGGAUAACUACUGGAAACGGUAGCUAAUACCGCAUAACGUCGCAAGACCAAAGAGGGGGACCUUCGGGCCUCUUGCCAUCGGAUGUGCCCAGAUGGGAUUAGCUAGUAGGUGGGGUAAAGGCUCACCUAGGCGACGAUCCCUAGCUGGUCUGAGAGGAUGACCAGCCACACUGGAACUGAGACACGGUCCAG